rnacentral:tRNA from 1 species
AUUUCCAUAGUGUAGUGGUUAUCACGUUCGCCUAACACGCGAAAGGUCCCCGGUUCAAGCCCGGGUGGAACUA